rnacentral:rRNA from 1 species
AAUGAACGUUGGCGGCGUGGAUUAGGCAUGCAAGUCGGACGGGCCGCAAGGCCAGUGGCGCAAGGGUGAGUAAGGCGACGGUAACCAACCCCGCGGAUGGGCAUAGCCGAGGGAAACUUCGGGUAAUUCCCAGCGAUGUGAGGGCCCGGCAUCGGGCCCGCACCAAAGAUUCAUCGCCGCGGGACGGGCCGUCGUGGUAUUAGCUUGUUGGCGGGGUGACGGCCCACCAAGGCUGCGAUGCCUACCGGGCGUGCGAGCGUGGCCCGGCACACUGGGACUGAGACACUGCCCAGACUCCUACGGGAGGCUGCAGUCGAGAAUCUUCGGCAAUGGGCGCAAGCCUGACCGAGCGACGCCGCGUGGAGGACGAAGGCCUUCGGGUUGUAAACUCCUGUCGAGGGGGAGGAAGGCGCAAGCUUGACCGAUCCCUGGAGGAAGCACGGGCUAAGUUCGUGCCAGCAGCCGCGGUAAGACGAACCGUGCGAACGUUAUUCGGAAUCACUGGGCUUAAAGCGCGUGUAGGCGGAUGGGGACGUCGGUCGCUGAAAGCCCCCGGCUCAACCGGGGAAGUGGCGCCGAAACGCCCCGUCUGGAGGGACGUAGGGGGACCUGGAACUUCCGGUGGAGCGGUGAAAUGCGUUGAGAUCGGAAGGAACGCCCGUGGCGAAAGCGAGGUCCUGGACGUCUUCUGACGCUGAGACGCGAAAGCUAGGGGAGCGAACGGGAUUAGAUACCCCGGUAGUCCUAGCCGUAAACGAUGGGCACUGNGUAGGGGCUCGCCGAUGGGCUCCCUGCCGCAGCGAAAGCGUGAAGUGCCCCGCCUGGGAGUAUGGUCGCAAGGCUGAA